rfam:Rattus norvegicus chromosome 2, whole genome shotgun sequence.
GGGGAUUUAGCUCAGUGGUAGAGCGCUUGCCUAGCAAGCACAAGGCCCUGGGUUUGGUACCCAGCUCCG